rfam:Myotis davidii contig91714, whole genome shotgun sequence.
GGUGGUUCUCAGGUGGUGCACCCCUGAAUAGGGCUCCCUCUUCUCUGGUUCCGGGUGCGUCACCCAAGAACCACA